rnacentral:rRNA from 1 species
AACGAACGCUGGCGGCAUGCCUAACACAUGCAAGUCGAACGAGACCUUCGGGUCUAGUGGCGCACGGGUGCGUAACGCGUGGGAACCUGCCCUUAGGAUCGGAAUAACUCCCCGAAAGGGGUGCUAAUACCGGAUAAUGUCUUCGGACCAAAGACUUAUCGCCUUUGGGUGGGCCCGCGUUGGCUUAUCUAGUUGGCAGUGUAAAAGCCUACCAAGGCGACGACCCAUAGCUGGGCUGAGAGGAUGAUCAGCCACACUGGGACUGAGACACGGACGGGACUCCUGCGGGAGGCAGCAGGGGGGAAUAUUGGACGAUGGGCGAAAGCCUGAGCCAGCAAUGCCGCGUGAGUGAUGAAGGCCUUAGGGUUGUAAAGCUCUUUUACCCGGGAUGAUAAUGACAGUACCGGGAGAAUAAGCUCCGGCUAACUCCGUG